UACGUAGGGCGCGAGCGUUGUCCGGAAUUAUUGGGCGUAAAGAGCUCGUAGGCGGUUUGUCGCGUCUGCCGUGAAAUCCUCUGGCUUAACUGGGGGCGUGCGGUGGGUACGGGCAGACUAGAGUGCGGUAGGGGAGACUGGAAUUCCUGGUGUAGCGGUGGAAUGCGCAGAUAUCAGGAGGAACACCGGUGGCGAAGGCGGGUCUCUGGGCCGUUACUGACGCUGAGGAGCGAAAGCAUGGGGAGCGAACAGG
rnacentral:rRNA from 1 species